GAAAAAUAGUGCACAAUCUCCUUUUGCUCUAGCUAAUUACUUGUAACGGUCUUUUCCGGAUCUUCUGGAACUGGUAAUCUCCUUCCCGCUAUAUGCACAACAUUCUCCUCCUCCCUGAACGAAAUCAGUGGAGCCACAAUCAGCGUUAUUUCUUGUCGCCAUCGCCGUAAGCUGAUAGUACUCCGUUCCCCGCCGAUGGGAGUCAAACAGAAGUACAUUUUGCUUGGGAAGGAAGGCAUUGAUUGCCCUACUUGAAGCGAAAAGAUAUACUAAAAACAUCCUUCUGCAUUGUUAUGAUUCGACAGUAAAGCGCGAGCAGCUAUUUUGCCAACGAAUGCAUUUGUCACCAAAAGAUACGAUUUUUUUUGUAAACAAAUUUGUUUUUUCACGAGCAAUGGCCGAACAGCAAUUUUGACAUUGCGGUUCACCUAUAGUACAACACCUUGCCAGCGACUGUGUCUCAGACAAAGAUGCCAGAUAUUUUUUUUUCAAAUAACUUCAUCCAUGAAAGUGCAUAUGUUUUGUUAUAAAAAACUACCCCCAAAAAUCGUCGAUAGCGUACAAAAUUCAUCAUCGAUCACUAAGCCACAUACCAAGAUGCUAAACUAUAGGUGUUUCGUUCUUGACACUUUCAUGACAAUACGUGAGACGAGUUGCGAGACGUAGCUUUCUGCAUUGUUUACUUUUUGUUUGGUUGUGUCGUUAUGGUUUCAUAUCAACUCGCUGAGGAAAACAACUGAAGAAAGAAAUAAGCAAAUAUAUAUUCGUGAAAAAUAGUGUACUAGAGCUGCAAUAAGAUACACAGGUCGGAGGCCACUGAUCAUUCAACAAGAGCCAAAGGUUGUACCGCUCAUGGCAACUCUACACGAGCUGAAGAUUGUACCGUCCAGUGACCAUUCUACCCUGGAUUCCUCGAGUCAAGAGAGACGCACCACGAUUGAUAUGAGGUACAGACUAGGGGGGCGUCGCUGAUCAAUGGUCAGUUAUACUCCAAUAGGAAGUAUCCCGUGUCGGCCACACAUACAUAGUACUGGAGACUGCAACAUCCCAAUUAUGAGAUCUUUGUAAUACUAACCUCGAGCCAACCGCGAGUAAUCGGUUACAUAUUACUAACAUAGUUGUAAGACAAAAAUUGUUAAAAUAUUGGACUCCCGGCCCCGUCAAGCUACGUGCCUUAAUAAAAUAUAUAUUUUGGUAAAAAAAUUAUAUAUUAUUCAAUAUUUUUGGGGGACAGUGAGGAUUUGAUUAGCUUGUGAGUGUGAUAAAAGUGCUAUAAGUCUAAGAAAUCUGUUGUCCAACUCCUCCACAGAUAAUCGUUCAUCUCGCGGUUCUCUAUCAUGCCAAAAUUAUAUUGUGAAUAUUUUAUUUACUUCAGAUGCCGUAUUAUUGUGCAGUAAAAGGAUGUGGAAACAAGGUUCUCAUAACGAAAAAUAACCCGGACAUUGUUUACCACACUUUUCUCCGAGAUGGAGAUAAAAAUCAAAAAUCAAAUCAUAUGCUCACGUCAUUUCCAUAGAAGCAGUUACGAUGACCGACAUCAAAUGCGCCAUGAACUUAAUGGUACGAGGAAAUAUAGGAUGUUGAAUUCCAAAGUUAAACAUUUUUUCUGCCUUAUAUGUAUCAGCCAUUCCAUGUCUAACCGAUAUAGUGGUUCUCCGAUUUUCGUGGAAAGUGGUAGAUUGUAGACUUUAUUGUAAAAUAUUAGACCCGUCUUUUCUUGUUUUUUUUUUAUUAGGGCUGUGUGGUAUACGUUGCAAAUCGUGAAUAUUGUCACCGGAUUAAGGGCAUUGUAGUGAUGUAGAACGUUGAACUUUUGACUAGUCUGAAAUCGAUCCACCGCCGCAACAAUAAGAAAUUUCUCACCGUGCAAUUUUUCGAAAUGACUGGUAUACUCAUCGGCAGUGCGGAAAUACUCUCGGCAUACAAAGCAGCAGCGCAAAGAGGGGUCCAAAUUGUGUUUCAGCAUACGUUCCACCGUAGUCACAUAACGAAUUUCCGAUAGAAGUCGAUUCGCCGCUACCAUCUCUUUAAUUUCCUUCAAAACUAUGUCGUUUUGUAAAAUUGCAUCCAGCAUACGCAGGAAUUUGUU